GUGGUCUUGUUCGCUAAUCAGCGAAAUCGACUCCACACUCGCGAUCGCGACUUCGCGCCGCGUAGUCUGGAGCGGGCUUUAGGCUUGCUCAGACAAGUCUUGAAAAACAAUAAAUGAAUCGGAAUUAAUUAUAUAUAAUUAUUAAUACCGCUAAAAUGACACUAAGAUUAUACAAUACAAUACCUAUUUCUCUAUUGCCAAAUUAUACUUUAGAUCUUAAAUAGGAUUUUUGAAAAAACUCUCCAGUAGUCUAUUGUGGGUCUUCUCUUAAAGAAAUGAAUUGGUGGUAGGAAAAUUUAAAAAGUCUUUAAAAAAAAACAAUAAAUAUACCGAACACUGCUGUUAGUGAGUAGAAAAGCAAUAAUUUGUAUCCGUAUAACCGAUGCCUACUGUACAACGACAUAUCUGAUUUUUAUAGUGUCUAUUUCAAAUAAUAAUAAAAGUAUGUUUAAUGGCACUGUUUUUAGAAGUGAUAAAACCAGGGACCGUAUGAAAGUUUUAUUUUUCUUGCGUCUUAAGAGCAUUUUCACAUUGUCCGAUCCCAAAUCGGAUGUCGGAAGGAAGUAAAAUGUAACAUAUAUGUGUCUCUGUAUUUAUUUAUGCAUUUAAUGAAUCAUUAUUAGUAAAAAACGAUAAAAAACAGCGCGGACUUAAUGCCAAUGGCACUCUCUUGCAGCUAUCGCCUUCCGGCAUCCGAUAUCGGAAAGGGGCUUCCGAUAAAUUCAGCCAUGUCGGAGCCUCCCGUCAGCUGUCGGACCGAUAAUAUUUGUUUGUGUGCGUAUGUGUAGGCAUAACGCUUGUUGUAGUGUGCGUGACCGCUUAAGACGGCGCCCGGGCGCGCCCCCGCGGCCUGACUACGCGGAUGUCGAAUCCAACAUCCGAUUCCGAUAACGGAUCAAACAAUGUGAAAACGCUCUAAAGAUUAAAAAAAAAAAAGUAAUUCGGGACUGCACUUAUGGUCGGCGCCGGCAAAUUGCGAGCCGUUAAAUAAAUAAAAUAAAUAAAAUAAGCCUUUAUUGCUGUUUAACACAAUAAUAAUAUGUUUUAAGUGGGUACCUUUACACUAUAUUUCUUUAAUACUACACUGCGAGCCGUUAUCUGAUACUCAAUUUAUCGGCGGAUAAAAUAGAAAAUUAUUUAUGCUCUAUUCUUCCGUUACAAUCAAAUUCUUCACAAUUAAGUAUAGGUACAAAAAACUUGUAAAGUCAAGUACCUGUCAAGUACUACAAGUCUAAGUGUUCAUAAUUUUAAAACUAACACGUGACUUAAUCGCGUACAAACUUACGUUUAUUUAUGGCCUGACGUUUCGAACGUGACGUUACGUUCGUGGUCACAGGCAGACGUUGGUGGUUCAGUUUUGGAACCAAACACUAAAAACAAAUGGUCCCACAACUGAAACUUCUAAAAAUAGUGCCGUGCUUAACGUUAUUGAUUCCUUUUAGGCUCGUUUACCUCUUUACAAAAUACUAGGGUAGUUGCGUUACUGAGUUUAUCGCUUGACCGAUUCAGAAGUUUUUAACAUUUAUAGUCGUACAUAUACAUCACUAUUUUAGAUGGCGUGAAUAAAUGCAAUACUUAAACUUUACGACACAAUAUUCUAAAUGUCCGGUAAUAAAUGAAAUAAAUUAGGUAUAAACUUGGAAUUAUUUUCAUUACAAUAUAUCUUGUAGAUAGAUUGUACGUUCCAAAUAACUUAGUGCCAAAUAUUAGGCCGAAAUAGGGUCGUUUCAUUUUUAUAGUAAUCACAAUUGAAUACGUUCAUUUAUAUUUGUAUAGCUUGUUUUACCAUUACCAUUCCACGUUAUGCUGAUUUUGAGAUCGUGUCAUAUCAUAUGUUUUAUUGUUCGACAUAACAUAUUCAUAACUUUGUAUUAGUUUUUAAGUUUUGUGUCAUUUUGACGAGUCAUUUGAUUUGUAUGGCGUGUGCUUCUAAGAUAGAUAGAAACCGCUCUUCGCCUGUUGCCUCUAUCUUUAAUCAAUUAUUUUUCCUUAAGUUGUAUAUUUUACUGAGGUGUGCCAAUAAAGAGUAUUCUGUCUAUCUAUCUACCUACAAAUUAGAAGUCCAAAUCCAGGUUUUUAAUUGGUAACUCAGCAAUAUGUAAAUAAGCAAAGAGGCAAGGCUGAAUUACAAGUUCUUCUUUACUCAAGUGCUCAAUAUACCCCAUACCUACGAUGGGUAUUCGGGGACCAAUUCAUCUUAAGCUGCAGUAUAGAAGAAGUUUUCUUGCAAGCUCCACCGCCUUAGAUACUGGGCCCAUAAUACCCCGUGUAAUAGGCACUUUAUAAUCUGGCCAGCCGUUGCUGUCAAUAAAAAAAACAAAUUCAAAAAACUCAGUGUUUGAUUGUCGACUUCCCAUGUAAUUAUUUCUUGAAUUUGUUUAGCUGGCCAGACUAUAAUUGUACCUAAUCUGCGUUCUACCAAUUUUAAACUCAUUUAUUUGCACUGAAAACAUUUUGAUGACUCGUUUUGGUAACACUAAUGCUAUUGGAUUAUAUGAGGUAACCUGCAGGGGUGCUAAGUACUUAUUAGACCAUCAAUAUAUCCCGAGUUACUGUAUUUGAAGUAUUGGCGCGGUGCAUGCCUCAACUGUCAUUAAAUAUUAGGUAUUACAGGCUGUUACUUUACGAACUUACUAUAUAUCCAGGUUUUGUCAUGCAUCCGGUCAAUAAAACGUGGGUUUGUCAGUUCAUUGUAUUGAUAUUAUCUAAUUUAUAAAUAGUUCUGUAAAUAAUUUAUUAACAACUGAAUAAAUGAUAAAUAAAUAUUAUAAAUAACAUGUUAAUAGAGAACAAUUUACUGUAAAUAAUAGAAUAUUAAA